rnacentral:tRNA from 1 species
GCCCCUGUAGCGCAAUUGGAUAGAGCGUUUGCUUGCGGAGCAAAAGGUUUGGUGUUCAAAUCACCACAGGGGCA